GUUAGGGUUGGGUUAGGGUUAAGAGUAGGGUUUGGGUUGGGUUAGGAGUAGGGUUAGGAUUAGGGUAGGGGUAGGCUUAGGGUUGGGUUACGAGUAAGGUUAGGUUAGGGUUGGGGUAGAGGUACCCUAACCCUACUCCUAACUCUAACCCUACUCCUAACCCUACUCCUUACCCUACUCCUUACCCUACUCCUUACCCUACUCCUUACCCUACUCCUUACCCUACUCCUUACCCAACCCAAACCCUACCCCUAACCCUAAC